CCUACGGGAGGCAGCAGUGGGGAAUAUUGGGCAAUGGGCGCAAGCCUGACCCAGCAACGCCGCGUGAAGGAAGAAGGCUCUCGGGUUGUAAACUUCUUUUCUCAGGGACGAAGCAAGUGACGGUACCUGAUGAAUAAGCCACGGCUAACUACGUGCCAGCAGCCGCUGUAAUACGUAGGUGGCAAGCGUUAUCCGGAUUUACUGGGUGUAAAGGGCGUGUAGGCGGGACUGCAAGUCAGAUGUGAAAACCAUGGGCUCAACCUAUGGCCUGCAUUUGAAACUGUAUUUCUUGAGUACUGGAGAGGCAGACGGAAUUCCUAGUGUAGCGGUGAAAUGCGUAGAUAUUAGGAGGAACACCAGUGGCGAAGGCGGUCUGCUGGACAGCAACUGACGCUGAGGCGCGAAAGCGUGGGUAGCAAACAGGAUUAGAUACCCCGGUAGUC
rnacentral:rRNA from 1 species